rnacentral:rRNA from 1 species
UACGUAGGUGACAAGCGUUGUCCGGAUUUACUGGGCGUAAAGAGCGCGCAGGCGGUCGAUCAAGUCGAGUGUGAAAGCCCCCGGCUCAACUGGGGAGGGUCAUUCGAUACUGAUCGACUCGAAGGCAGGAGAGGGUAGUGGAAUUCCCGGUGUAGUGGUGAAAUGCGCAGAUAUCAGGAGGAACACCUAUUGCGAAGGCAGCUCGCUGGGACGUAACUGACGCUGAGACGCGAAAGCGUGGGGAGCAAACAGG